rnacentral:misc_RNA from 1 species
UAUGGUUACAUUUCAUUUAUGAGCCUAUCCGACCGAGUCCCUCCACCUCCUCGUCAUGACAACGACUACGGCUUCGCGACCAGACUUCCAGACGUAUCCAAUGUUUCCGUCAUUUCGAACUCGAGCAAUCGAGACAAAAGAGUACAGAUUGGAAAAAUCAACAGGCUCUCGCACUCGCGUGCGGUCCACUGUCGAAAAGGUGUUGUUCUCGGGACACAAGAGAAGGGAAGCACACGCAGCCUGACGCCGCGCAUACCCCUCCAGUUGUUUUGGUGAGUUGUUUAGGUGUGGUAAUGAUCCUUCCGCAGGUUCACCUACGGAAA